UUUCCGUAGGUGAACCUGCGGAAGGAUCAUUAUUGUAUAACCGAGGUGCGAGGGCUGUCGCUGACCCGAAAGGUCGUGCACGCCUGAGUGCCCUCACACACGUUCAUCUCACCCCUAUGUGCACCACCGCGUGGGUCCCCCUUUGGCUUGUUCGGAGGGGGGCUUACGUUUUCACACAAACUUUGUAUGCAGUGUAGAAUGUAUUUUUUGUUUUUGCGAUCACGCAAUCAAUACAACUUUCAACAACGGAUCUCUUGGCUCUC
rnacentral:misc_RNA from 1 species